UGGCUCCCGCAUCGAUGAAGAACGCAGCGAAAUGCGAUACGUAAUGUGAAUUGCAGAAUUCAGUGAAUCAUCGAAUCUUUGAACGCACCUUGCACUCUUUGGUAUUCCGAAGAGUAUGCCUGUUUGAGUGUCGUGAAACCCUCAACCCCCCUGUUUUGUAAUGAAACAGGCGUGGGCUUGGAUUCUGGCUGCCUGCAGGCCCUGUCACAGGGUCAGCUCAGCUGAAAUAUACGAGCAGCUUGUAUUUCGAUACCAUAGAAAGCUUCAACUCGGCGUAAUAAAACUUAUCUCGUCGAAGUGAAUGCAGUCUUAUCGUUAGACAGCGCUUAUAAUUCGUUUCUCGUAAACAUCUGAACUUUAGACCUCAAAUCAGGCAGGAUUACCCGCUGA
rnacentral:misc_RNA from 1 species